rnacentral:rRNA from 1 species
GACGAACGCUGGCGGUGUGCUUAACACAUGCAAGUCGAACGGUAAGGCCCUUUCGGGGGUACACGAGUGGCGAACGGGUGAGUAACACGUGAGUAACCUGCCCUCAUCUCUGGGAUAACAGUCGGAAACGGUUGCUAAUACUGGAUAUGAGCUUGCAAGGCAUCUUGUGGGUUGGAAAGAUUUUUUUUGGUUGGGGAUGGACUCGCGGCCUAUCAGCUUGUUGGUGAGGUAGUGGCUCACCAAGGCUUCGACGGGUAGCCGGCCUGAGAGGGCGACCGGCCACAUUGGGACUGAGAUACGGCCCAAACUCCUACGGGGGGCAGCAGUGGGGAAUAUUGCACAAUGGACGGAAGUCUGAUGCAGCAACGCCGCGUGCGGGAUGACGGCCUUCGGGUUGUAAACCGCUUUCAAUUGUGACGAAGCUUUUUUGUGACGGUAGCAGUAGAAGAAGCACCGGCUAACUACGUG